CAAAUUUCCAAUUUGCAUUAAGUGUUUGUCUUUAAUAUCUUUGAUCUUCUUUUAAAGCUAAUUUCUUCUCCUUUUUUCAUCUGAAGGCACCUCAAGCAUCAUCCCUUAGUCCUAUUACCCAACGGAAAUUGUUUGUUACAUGCUUUGCAAGUGGCAUUGUGUGUUCUAUUCUUGGAGCAGCAAUAUUUUUGCUUUCAAAUGAGGAUCUGAAAUUCUCUGC
rnacentral:lncRNA from 1 species